AAAGUAAAUAUCACAAGUUCAACUAGUUUAACGUUGGGCGGUUUAACAUUAAAUAUGUUUAAACCUGAAAUGAUUUGCUUAUUCAAGACCGAAUUAGAAUAUUUAUCAUUGUACUAAAAAUUAACUACAGUAACAUACGUUUGAGUUUAUACGUCACAGUACACGGUCUUCAGAUCAAGUGUUGAAACAUGCAAGUUUAAUAUUAAACACUGUUAAAUAUUCUUGGCCGAAUGUUCUGAUAAUUAUUAAGUGUAUGUGUUUGAUGGGUAUUGAUAAACGCCUAUGCAUUUAUCUUAUGGACAUAUUAUGACACCAAGAUGGAGGCAAACACAGGAAAAAAUGGCGUUAUUGGACAAAAUAUUGUGCAGAAAGUGGAAUUUCUGUGGAGGCUGAGGAUGCUCUCAAAAGGAAACUUUUUGUCAGAAUCUGCAGACAUUCAUGGCAUAUCCAAAGCUACAGCUGGAAGGGUGUUUGAUGAUUUUCUGGAUGCAGUUAUCAGAAACAUUGGAAAUGUAAGGUUACCAUCCACAAGAGAUGAGGUAUUAAGGACAAAAGUGGGAUUUUUCAGGAAGUGCAGGAUACCCAACAUCAUAGGACCACCACGAGACCAACCAGACAGGCAUUUUACUUGGUGAUGGCGGUUAUCCCCUCCGUCCAUACCUACUGACCCCAUUACUCAAUCCUUCCACUCCACAAGAGAUUGCCUUCAACAAGGCCCAAAUCAGGGGGCGUAUAGUGAUUGAGAGGAGUUUCUAAAUCCUGUUUCAGAUGCCUACAUAGAUCAGGAGGAGCGCUACAAUACACUCCAACCAAAUGUUGCAAAAUUGUUGUGGCAUGUGUAAAGUUGCACAACUUUUGUAUUGAAAACAAUGUUCCAUUUCCAGCUGACAUGAUGAUGGAUA